GUCGAGCUACCAAGUUUAUUCUUCAGGACUAUGAAUCGUCCUACGGCGUUGAUCGCUUGAAAAAACUUAAUCUAAUCCCUCUUUCAUACUGGCAUGAAAUUAAAGAUAUCAUGUUCUAGCUUCUACAAAUGCAAAUCCGGGAUGUACGAACAUGACAUUAAUCAGUCUCUCCAUCAUUCCACCCCGAUUUUUUUUUCCACCCUAAUUUUUUUUUAUUUUCGUCGUCCAAAUCUGUGUAAAACGUCUGUCUUCAGAAACUCGUACUUUAACAGAAUUGUAUUUUUAGGGAACUGAUAACUUGCCUUCAGAUAUCAAAUCAUCCUCUUCCGUCUCUAUACUUAAAUCUAAACUAUUAUUAAUAUCUAUAUUAUACGAAUAAACUUAAGUACUUAACUAUACUUUCGAGGUAGACCAUCCUAGAACUUGAAAAACUUUGUGUAGUAAGUGUCGUUCUUUAUAAAUGCAAUUCCUAUUAUCCUAUAUAAUUUUUAAUAAUUAAUAUUUAAGUGUUUUUGUAUUAUGUAUGAUAUGUAAUAUUGUAAUAAUGUAAUUCGUAAAGCCCUGGGCAAACUAGGAAACAUUGUUGCGGAAACAUUGUUUCCUACCAAUGUUUCGCCAUGUUUCUCAGAGACCAGAGUGGGCAAACACUAGGAAACAUCAGCGAGAAACAUUAGCGCUCAGGGUAAAUUAGUCCUUGUAUUCUUCUCUGUCGAUGCCAAAUUCCUUCAACUUGUUGUCAAUCUCAGCAUAAACCUUUUCUUUCUUUCCGUAAUCUGUUUGAGUAUUUUACAUUACCGACAUCCCACAAACAGUUUCUUGCUUCAUACAAACUUAUCAGCUUCUCUGUUUUGGUAUCUUUCCAAACUCGC